GCGGAGGGGGAAGGGAGCCGAGUGGAGGAGGAGGUAGAGAGAGAAUAUCCCGGAUGAGGAGAAGGAGGCAGAGAGGGUCGAGUAAAGAAGGAGAAGAUGGAGGGAAAAUGUCCCAGAUGGCAGAGGAGGAGGAGGUGGAGGAGAAAGGGGGCCAAGCGGAGGGAAGGUCCCGGACAGAGAGAAGGAGACGGAGGGAGUCGAGCAG
rnacentral:lncRNA from 1 species